CCUACGGGAGGCAGCAGUGGGGAAUAUUGGACAAUGGGGGGAACCCUGAUCCAGCCAUGCCGCGUGUGUGAAGAAGGCCCUCGGGUUGUAAAGCACUUUCAGUGAGGAAGAACGCCUGGUGGUUAAUACCCAUCAGGAAAGACAUCACUCACAGAAGAAGCACCGGCUAACUCCGUGCCAGCAGCCGCGGUAAUACGGAGGGUGCGAGCGUUAAUCGGAAUUACUGGGCGUAAAGCGCGCGUAGGUGGCUUGAUAAGCCGGUUGUGAAAGCCCCGGGCUCAACCUGGGAACGGCAUCCGGAACUGUCAAGCUAGAGUGCAGGAGAGGAAGGUAGAAUUCCCGGUAUAGCGGUGAAAUGCGUAGAGAUCGGGAGGAAUACCAGUGGCGAAGGCGGCCUUCUGGACUGACACUGACACUGAGGUGCGAAAGCGUGGGUAGCAAACAGGAUUAGAUACCCGAGUAGUC
rnacentral:rRNA from 1 species